UUUUUAGUAUAAGUAUGUCCCAUGCAAUGGUGGGGACAUACUUAUACUGAAA
rnacentral:pre_miRNA from 1 species